AAUGAACGCUGGCGGCGCGCCUAAUACAUGCAAGUCGAGCGAGAAGACGUAGCAAUACGUUUGUAAAGCGGCGAACGGGUGAGGAAUACAUGGGUAACCUACCCUCGAGUGGGGAAUAACUAGCCGAAAGGUUAGCUAAUACCGCGUACGCUUCUUGGACUUCGGUUCAGGGAGGAAAGCGAUGCCGAGGGUAUCGCGCUCUUGGAUGGGCUCAUGUCCUAUCAGCUUGUUGGNGAGGUAACGGCUCACCAAGGCUUCGACGGGUAGCUGGUCUGAGAGGACGAUCAGCCACACUGGCACUGCGACACGGGCCAGACUCCUACGGGAGGCAGCAGUAAGGAAUAUUGCGCAAUGGGCGAAAGCCUGACGCAGCGACGCCGCGUGGGGGAUGAAGGUCUUCGGAUUGUAAACCCCUUUCGGGAGGGAAGAUGGAAUGGGGUAACCCGAUUCGGACGGUACCUCCAGAAGCAGCCACGGCUAACUUCGUGCCAGCCGCCGCGGU
rnacentral:rRNA from 1 species